CAAGCAAGCUGGCUUAUCGCUCUAGCUAAUAUCAAGCUAGGGAGGAAAGUCCGAGCAACAUAGAGCACCCUACUUCUUAACAGGAAGGCGCCUAGUAACAAAAGCUAGGAAAGCAGCCAGUGCCACAGAAAACAAACCGCCUAGAAAUAGGUAAGGGUGAAAAGGUGGAGUAAGAGCCCACCGCUUUGUUGGUGACAACAGAGGCAUGGUAAACCUUAGGGGUUGCAAGGCCAAGUAAGUGUUGUUUUCCCCACGGCCGGGAAUUACAGGCUGCUCGUCUGUAUUUCAAUAAUUGAAAGACAACAUGGGUAGGCCGCUAGAGGAUGCAAGUGAUUGCAGACCCAGAUAAAUGAUAAGCACGUUAGGUUCUUUCAAAAUAAGAAAAACGUACAGAACUCGGCUUACAGGCUUGCUUCGUAU
rnacentral:RNase_P_RNA from 2 species